GCGUCCCUCCCCGUCCGCCCGACCUACUACGACGUACCGUACCGGUACGGGGGCGAGCGAGGUAGGGGAAGUCGUUGCACAAUAGGAACGAAAGUCUGAUGCAGCAACGCCGCGGUGGGGGAGUGGAAGCUUUCGGAGUGUAAACCCUUUCGACCCGGAAAAUGACCCGCAAGGGUUUGACGGUACGGGUAUAAGAAGCCCGGCUAACUACGUGCCAGCAGCCGCGGUAAUAC
rnacentral:rRNA from 1 species